UGGUAUAAGCGCCACCUUGUUUCCCAUAAAUGGAAAGGGACUUUUUUCUCUUUAAAGAGAGCGAUAGGGUGAUCGGGUUGCAACAAGUACUGUGAAGUGCGGUGUUUGUAGCAUUUACAUUCUAAAUCAGGUUUUAAGAAACCCACUUCUAGAAUCUCUCCAUAAAUUGUUUUCCUUAGCUGCUUAAUUGAGGAGGAUCCUUUAAAUAGAUCCGGUUCAACCUUCCAUUUUUUAAGUGUGAAUAACAAAUCUCUCAAGUAGUCUGGGUGUUCUCUUUUUAAUACUUGUGUGAUAUUGCCAUUGAAAGAUCCUUUCCCCCACCAUGCUAUGCUCCAUGCUGACUUGUGCCAACACAGAGCGAAAAGCGAGACCCAGUUUUUUUGCAGGAGGUUGGACAUAUCAUGGACAUUCACGAAAAUCCAGUUUCCAAAAUUGUAGGACAUGAAUUCAGUUACAAAAUAGGGUUGCAGGGCAGGUAGGGCUAGGCCUCCCCGCUCAACCUCCUUAAAUGCUACCGCACGGGCCAAAGGGAAGGACGCUGUGUGACAUACUAGACGGAAGAUCUGGCUUUCAACUCUCCGAAGGAGAUCGAGCGGGGGAGGAUAGACUACCGCCAGGUUAUGCACCGGGGGUAUCAGAGCAAAUGGCAGAGGCCAUAGUCACACUCAGAGCCCGGCCCAGUGCAGGCCAUCAGUGACCACACCUUCUGGGACAGUCUAAAGAGGAUUGGGGGGCUCCCUGGGUGUGUGGUGGCCCUGGAAUUCGGCCCUGAAGUCCAGAGUUUGCAGAGCAACUGUGCAGAUCCUGGAGAGACAAAAUGGAGACUAACGCUGGAAGAACAAAGAGGGGAGGAGUCCAGCACUUUUAUCCAUGCCCCUAAAAAAACCCAGUGGUCACUAUGAGACAUUGAAGCUGAAAGCUGAUGCUGCUAGGGUCCUAGCUCCACAAUGAAUAGAGGUUCUCUGCCCAUCCUCCAUCUUCUUUCCCCAACAAUCCCCCUCCCCUACCUGAUCUUGUCGUCCUGAAGCGCCUUCCACUCCACCAGGAAGAAGAGAUAGCUGAGAAUGCAGCGGCAAUGUCAUUCCAACACCUGGUAAGUUGUGGGAGAACAAAAGAGAGAAUUUAAAAGAAAGUCUAAAAAUAUAUUUUUAAAAUGAGAGAAUCUUAACAUUGAUUUAACUUUUGUUAAAACCACUGCAUGUUGUCUUUGUACAGAAUUUAACAUGCAAAU